GACGAACGCUGGCGGCGUGCUUAACACAUGCAAGUCGAACGGAAAGGCCCUGCUUUUGUGGGGUGCUCGAGUGGCGAACGGGUGAGUAACAUGUGAGUAACCUGCCCUUGACUUUGGGAUAACUUCAGGAAACUGGGGCUAAUACCGGAUAGGAGCUCCUGCUGCAUGGUGGGGGUUGGAAAGUUUCGGCGGUUGGGGAUGGACUCGCGGCUUAUCAGCUUGUUGGUGGGGUAGUGGCUUACCAAGGCUUUGACGGGUAGCCGGCCUGAGAGGGUGACCGGCCACAUUGGGACUGAGAUACGGCCCAGACUCCUACGGGAGGCAGCAGUGGGGAAUAUUGCACAAUGGGCGGAAGCCUGAUGCAGCAACGCCGCGUGCGGGAUGACGGCCUUCGGGCUGUAAACCGCUUUCGCCUGUGACGAAGCGUGAGUGACGGUAAUGGGUAAAGAAGCACCGGCUAACUACGUG
rnacentral:rRNA from 1 species